UACGUAGGGGGGCGAGCGUUGUCCGGAAUCAUUGGGCGUAAAGCGCGUGUAGGCGGCCCGGUAAGUCCGCUGUGAAAGUCCAGGGCUCAACCCCUGGGAUGCCGGUGGAUACUGUCGGGCUCGAGUCCGGAAGAGGCGAGUGGAAUUCCUGGUGUAGCGGUGAAAUGCGCAGAUAUCAGGAGGAACACCAAUGGCGAAGGCAGCUCGCUGGGACGUGACUGACGCUGAGACGCGAAAGCGUGGGGAGCGAACGGG
rnacentral:rRNA from 1 species